CCUACGGGAGGCAGCAGUGAGGAAUAUUGGUCAAUGGCCGGAAGGCUGAACCAGCCAUGCCGCGUGAAGGUCAGUGCCCUAUGGGCGUUAAACUUCUUUUGUGCGGGAGCAAUAAUGGUCACGUGUGGCCAGACGAGAGUACCGUACGAAUAAGCAUCGGCUAACUCCGUGCCAGCAGCCGCGGUAAUACGGGGGAUGCAAGCGUUAUCCGGAUUUAUUGGGUUUAAAGGGUGCGUAGGCUGUGAGGUAAGUCAGCGGGGAAAUGCCCCCGCUCAACGGGGUGAAGUGCCAUUGAUACUGCCUUGCUGGAAUGCGGAAGCCGUGGGAGGAAUGUGUGGUGUAGCGGUGAAAUGCAUAGAUAUCACACAGAACACCGAUUGCGAAGGCAUCUCACGAAUCCGCGAUUGACGCUGAUGCACGAAAGCGUGGGUAUCAAACAGGAUUAGAUACCCCGGUAGUC
rnacentral:rRNA from 1 species